rnacentral:rRNA from 1 species
ACGUAGGGAUCGAGCGUUAUCCGGAUUUACUGGGCGUAAAGCGCGUGCAGGCGGUUUUCUAAGUCGGACGUGAAAGCUCCUGGCCCAACUGGGAGAGGCCGUUCGAAACUGGAAGACUUGAGGAUGGUAGAGGUAAGUGGAAUUCCCGGUGUAGUGGUGAAAUGCGUAGAUAUCGGGAGGAACACCAGUGGCGAAGGCGGCUUACUGGGCCAUUCCUGACGCUGAGACGCGAAAGCUAGGGGAGAGAACGGG